CAGCCACAUCUCGUUUAAACAUCGGUUCCCGUACGAUUGCCGAAGUUAAGAAACAUCAAGCCUGGUCAGUACCCAGAUGGGUGACCACUUGGAAAUACCAGGUGCU